AAACAUUUGGCACUGAAAGAGGUUAGACGGAUAACUAUUUGUAUCACCAUAUUCAUGAGGCUGAAAUAUUUUCCAUUACUGCUAUCACAUCCGAAUGGAAGAUGUUAAAAGGUCUCUCAUCUUGUAAGAUGGAUAUGAAAGAACAUUUUCUGAGAAAUGAAAUUAUUAACACACCUGCGAGGUGGAUGGAAGAGAAAAAAAGAAUAAUCAGCUUGAGUUCUUCUCCUUGAUAAGAUAACUCACUAAAAACAUAAAGAGAAAAAUACAAGUUUAAAAUAAUUAACCAGAAGAAGACGAC
rnacentral:lncRNA from 1 species